GGAGGGAUGGCCGAGUGGUUGAUGGCAGUGGUCUUGAAAACCACCGUACAGGCUUCCUGUACCGUGGGUUCGAAUCCCACUCCCUCCG
rnacentral:tRNA from 1 species